UGAUUUCAAGAGCUGAACUAUUCUGCAACAUUUGUUGAUGUGGUUCUGCAAGUAAAUGCUGCAGAAUUGUGCUCCUCUUGGAAUUG